rnacentral:SRP_RNA from 10 species
GUCACCAGGUGCAGUGUCUGUAGUCCCAGCUACUUGGGAGGCUGAGGCAGGAGGAUCGCUGGAGUCCAGGAGUUCCGGGUUGUAGUGCAGUAUGCCUGUAGUGCAGAUAGCUAUACUUGCACUAAGUUCACCACCAAUUUGGUGACCUCUCAGGAGCAGGGGAUUACCAAGCUGCCUAAAGAGAGGUGCACCAGCCCAGCUCAGAAACAGAGGGGUCAAAACUCCUUUGCUGAUCAGUAGUGGGAUCUUGCCUGUGAAUAGCCACUGCACUUCAGCCUGGGCAACAUAGCAAGACCCAUCU